UAGGGAAUCUUCGGCAAUGGGGGCAACCCUGACCGAGCAACGCCGCGUGAGUGAAGAAGGUUUUCGGAUCGUAAAGCUCUGUUGUAAGUCAAGAACGAGUGUGAGAGUGGAAAGUUCACACUGUGACGGUAGCUUACCAGAAAGGGACGGCUAACUACGUGCCAGCAGCCGCGGUAAUACGUAGGUCCCGAGCGUUGUCCGGAUUUAUUGGGCGUAAAGCGAGCGCAGGCGGUUUGAUAAGUCUGAAGUUAAAGGCUGUGGCUCAACCAUAGUUCGCUUUGGAAACUGUCAAACUUGAGUGCAGAAGGGGAGAGUGGAAUUCCAUGUGUAGCGGUGAAAUGCGUAGAUAUAUGGAGGAGCACCGGUGGCGGAAGCGGCUCUCUGGUCUGUAACUGACGCUGAGGCUCGAAAGCGUGGGGAGCGAACAGGAUUAGAUACCCUGGUAGUCCACGCCGUAAACGAUGAGUGCUAGGUGUUGGGUCCUUUCCGGGAUUCAGUGCCGCAGCUAACGCAUUAAGCACUCCGCCUGGGGAGUACGACCGCAAGGUUG
rnacentral:rRNA from 1 species